ensembl:lncRNA
AGGCUGCCUCACGAGAUUCCACUCCAUUUACUGUCAGCAUUCAAAAGAGCAAAUGGGACAGCGCCCGAUCCAUGCGGUUCAACCAGGACGCUCAGAGAGAAGACGAUCAGCGGAGGAUGGUGGACAUUAUUGGACAUCUCACAAAGCUGAGGUUUGGUGACUUAGAACAGAGCAAAUCCAAGGACGUGAAAGAGGAGGGAUAUACUCCAGGCUUGAAGCUCAGUUCAGGAGUGCCUCCCAGGGAAGUGGACGACAUAGUAGCUCAGAGAAGGCUCACAGAGCAAAGUUACGCUUCGGGCAAUCAAGACCAACAUAAGAGCUCCAGUACGUGGACUGGAGAAGAAAACAAGACCCUCAGCAAAGUACAGUCCAGCAGGGCCCUCCAGAACCCCCACCCGACAUCUCUCCUCCUGCUCCCGUUCAGCUCCAGAACCGCUCCAAGGCCCACUGUGGCGUUGUCUGGUUCCGGUACACUUCUGGACCCAGGUCCCCAGCCUGCUUGGUCUGCGGUAGCUUAGGUCGUCCUCCUCAUCACCUGACGUAUCUGUGGCUCUAUAGGCCCAGCUCACGUGCCUAUGACUGAUCACCUUUAUUGCGUUCCCUUUUACCUCAUCCAUCUCCGUGCAAGGAUUUAGUAUUUUGCUGAGGGGCCAGCGCUGUGGCGACAUGAAUGAAGGAAUGGUGAAUCUUGAUGGUCAAAUGCCUGAUUCCAUCACUACCUCCUUGUGGCAUGUAGACUUAGACCAUUUGUGCAACACUGAGG